UUACUCGGGUUUCUCUUCAUAACGUACAAGUCUUUCGCCUUUUACUAAAGACUUCCGUGGAGAGGGACGCCAAUGAGUUAAAACUAUUUUCGUGCGUUUGUGAAAAGGAAAUAA